rnacentral:rRNA from 1 species
UACGUAGGGGGCGAGCGUUGUCCGGAAUCAUUGGGCGUAAAGAGCGUGUAGGCGGCUUGGCAAGUCUGACGUGAAAGCCCGCGGCUCAACCGCGGAUUGUCGUUGGAAACUGCCUCGCUAGAGUCCGGAAGAGGAGAGCGGAAUUCCUGGUGUAGCGGUGGAAUGCGCAGAUAUCAGGAAGAACACCCGUGGCGAAGGCGGCUCUCUGGGACGGUACUGACGCUGAGGUGCGAAAGCGUGGGUAGCAAACAGG